UACGAAGGGAGCUAGCGUUGUUCGGAAUCACUGGGCGUAAAGCGCACGUAGGCGGAUUCGUCAGUCAGGGGUGAAAUCCCGGGGCUCAACCUCGGAACUGCCUCUGAUACAGCAAGUCUUGAGUCCGGAAGAGGUGGGUGGAAUUCCUAGUGUAGAGGUGAAAUUCGUAGAUAUUAGGAAGAACACCGGUGGCGAAGGCGGCCCACUGGUCCGGUACUGACGCUGAGGUGCGAAAGCGUGGGGAGCAAACAGG
rnacentral:rRNA from 1 species